GAUGAAGAACGCAGCGAAAGGCGAUAAGUAAUGUGAAUUUCAGAAUUCAGUGAAUCAUCGAAUCUUUGAACGCACAUUGCGCCCCUUGGUAUUCCGGGGGGCAUGCCUGUUCGAGCGUCAUUUCGACCCUCAAGCUCAGCUUGGUAUUGAGUCCAUGUCAAUAAUGGCAGGCUCUAAAAUCAGUGGCGGCGCCGCUGGGUCCUGAACGUAGUAAUAUCUCUCGUUACAGGUUCUCGGUGUGCUUCUGCCAAAACCCAAAUUUUCUAUGGUUGACCUCGGAUCAGGUAGGGAUACCCGCUGAACUUAAGCAUAUCAAUAAGCGGAGGA
rnacentral:misc_RNA from 1 species